UACGUAGGGACCAAGCGUUGUUCGGAUUUACUGGGCGUAAAGGGCGCGUAGGCGGCUUGACAAGUCAGGGGUGAAAUCCGGCAGCUUAACUGUCGCAGUGCCUUUGAUACUGUCGAGCUCGAGGGAGGUAGGGGUCUGUGGAACUUCCGGUGGAGCGGUGAAAUGCGUUGAUAUCGGAAGGAACGCCGGUGGCGAAAGCGACGGACUGGAUCUCUUCUGACGCUGAGGCGCGAAAGCCAGGGGAGCAAACGGG
rnacentral:rRNA from 1 species